UACGUAGGGGGCGAGCGUUGUCCGGAUUUAUUGGGCGUAAAGAGCUCGUAGGCGGUUCGGCAAGUCAGCUGUAAAAACUCCAGGCUCAACUUGGAGAGGCCAUCUGAUACUGCCGUGACUAGAGUCCGGUAGAGGAGCACGGAAUUCCUGGUGUAGCGGUGAAAUGCGCAGAUAUCAGGAGGAACACCAGCGGCGAAGGCGGUGCUCUGGGCCGGAACGGACGCUGAGGAGCGAAAGCGUGGGGAGCGAACAGG
rnacentral:rRNA from 1 species